AACAGGAUUAGAUACCCUGGUAGUCCAUGCCGUAAACGAUGUCUACUAGCCGUUGGGGCCUUUGAGGCUUUAGUGGCGCAGCUAACGCGAUAAGUAGACCGCCUGGGGAGUACGGUCGCAAGACUAAAACUCAAAUGAAUUGACGGGGGCCCGCACAAGCGGUGGAGCAUGUGGUUUAAUUCGAUGCAACGCGAAGAACCUUACCUGGUCUUGACAUAGUAAGAACUUUCCAGAGAUGGAUUGGUGCCUUCGGGAACUUACAUACAGGUGCUGCAUGGCUGUCGUCAGCUCGUGUCGUGAGAUGUUGGGUUAAGUCCCGCAACGAGCGCAACCCUUUUCCUUAUUUGCCAGCGGGUUAAGCCGGGAACUUUAAGGAUACUGCCAGUGACAAACUGGAGGAAGGCGGGGACGACGUCAAGUCAUCAUGGCCCUUACGACCAGGGCUACACACGUGCUACAAUGGUCGGUACAAAGGGUUGCUACCUCGCGAGAGGAUGCUAAUCUCAAAAAGCCGAUCGUAGUCCGGAUUGGAGUCUGCAACUCGACCCCAUGAAGUCGGAAUCGCUAGUAAUCGCGGAUCAGAAUGCCGCGGUGAAUACGUUCCCGGGCCUUGUACACACCGCCCGUCACACCAUGGGAGUUUGUUGCACCAGAAGUAGGUAGUCUAACCUUAGGGGGGACGCUUACCACGGUGUGGCCGAUGACUGGGGUGAAGUCGUAACAAGGUAACC
rnacentral:rRNA from 1 species